rnacentral:rRNA from 1 species
GAGUUUGAUCAUGGCUCAGAUUGAACGCUGGCGGCAGGCCUAACACAUGCAAGUCGAGCGGAUGACGGGAGCUUGCUCCUUGAUUCAGCGGCGGACGGGUGAGUAAUGCCUAGGAAUCUGCCUGGUAGUGGGGGACAACGUUUCGAAAGGAACGCUAAUACCGCAUACGUCCUACGGGAGAAAGCAGGGGACCUUCGGGCCUUGCGCUAUCAGAUGAGCCUAGGUCGGAUUAGGCUAGUUGGUGGGGUAAUGGCUCACCAAGGCGACGAUCCGUAACUGGUCUGAGAGGAUGAUCAGUCACACUGGAACUGAGACACGGUCCAGACUCCUACGGGAGGCAGCAGUGGGGAAUAUUGGACAAUGGGCGAAAGCCUGAUCCAGCCAUGCCGCGUGUGUGAAGAAGGUCUUCGGAUUGUAAAGCACUUUAAGUUGGAGGAAGGGCAGUAAGUUAAUACCUUGCUGUUUUGACGUUACCGACAGAAUAAGCACCGGCUAACUCUGUGCCAGCCGCCG